UGGGGGAUAUUGCACAAUGGGCGAAAGCCUGAUGCAGCGACGCCGCGUGGGGGAUGAAGGCCUUCGGGUUGUAAACUUCUUUUGCUCUGAACAAGGCAUGCUAAUGGGUGUGUUGAGUGUAGGGGUUGAUUAGCGCCGGCUAACUACGUGCCAGCAGCCGCGGUAAUACGUAGGGCGCGAGCGCUGUCCGGAAUUAUUGGGCGUAAAGGGCUUGUAGGUGGCUGGUUGCGUCUGUCGUGAAAGCUCAUGGCUUAACUGUGGGUUUGCGGUGGGUCCGGGCUGGCUUGAGUGCAGUAGGGGAGGCUGGAAUUCCUGGUGUAGCGGUGGAAUGCGCAGAUAUCAGGAGGAAUACCGGUGGCGAAGGCGGGUCUCUGGGCUGUUACUGACACUGAGGAGCGAAAGCAUGGGGAGCGAACAGG
rnacentral:rRNA from 1 species